rnacentral:lncRNA from 1 species
UCUUUCAGGCGUUUGAUGAGAGCUGCAUGCACGAGGGGCUAGGUGGAAGCAUGGAUCUCAGUGGAAACUGGACUCUGGAGGACGGAAGCUGGCUGUCACCCACUGGGGAUCGCCACUUCCCCAACGGCAGAGGCGAGAGUGAUUUUGUGGACACCACUCCCGCAUCUUUCAGCCCGGAGGAGUUAGCUCCUCCCCCCAUCUGCUACAGCCCCGGCAGUCCUGCGCAGAUUCUAGAAGACCACGCCUACUUCUACCCAGACUUGCAGCUCUAUUCUGGGAGGCAUGAAGCACCUACUUUGACAGUGGAGGCAAACGGAGGCCUGAGGGGGAAAAGCG